CAUACCUAUUCGAAGGGAUAGGGUCGGUUUGGCCGGAUUUCACACAGGUGUUGCAUGGCUGUCGUCAGCUCGCGUCGUGAGAUGUUGGGUUAAGUCCCGCAACGAGCGCAACCCUCAUCCUUAGUUACCGUCAGGUUAUGCUGGGGACUUUAAGGAAACUGCCAGUGAUAAACUGGAGGAAGGUGGGGAUGAUGUCAAGUCAUCAUGGCCCUUAUGGAGUGGGCUACACACGUGCUACAAUGGUGAUUACAAUGGGCUGCAAGGUCGCAAGGCUGAGCUAAUCCUAAAAAAUCAUCUCAGUUCGGAUUGUUCUCUGCAACCCGAGAGCAUGAAGUUGGAAUUGCUAGUAAUCGUGGAUCAGCAUGCCACGGUGAAUACGUUCUCGGGUCUUGUACACACUGCCCGUCACGCCAUGGGAAUUGGUUUCACUCGAAGCU
rnacentral:rRNA from 2 species